rnacentral:rRNA from 1 species
GGAGUUUGGUCCGUGUCUCAGUACCAAUGUGGGGGACCUUCCUCUCAGAACCCCUACUGAUCGUCGGCUAGGUGGGCCGUUACCCCGCCUACUACCUAAUCAGACGCAUCCCCAUCCCAUAGCGAUAAAUCUUUGGUAUUGCUCAGAUGUCCUCAUAAUACAACAUAGGGCAUUAAUCCGACUUUCGCCGGGCUAUUCCUUAGUAAGGGGAAGGUUGGAUACGCGUUACUCACCCGUGCGCCGGUCGCCAGCAAAGAUAGCAAGCUAUCUCCCUGAUGCCCCUCGACUUGCAUGUGUUAAGCCUGUAGCUAGCGUUCAUC